rnacentral:rRNA from 1 species
CAGCCGUAAACUAUGCGCGUUAGGUGUAUCGGUGACCACGAGUCACCGAGGUGCCGAAGGGAAACCGUGAAACGUGCCGCCUGGGAAGUACGGUCGCAAGGCUGAAACUUAAAGGGAAUUGGGCGGGGGAGCACCACAACGGGUGGAGCCUGCGGUUUAAUUGGACUCAACGCCGGGAAGCUCACCGGAUAAGACAGCGGAAUGAUUGCCGGGCUGAAGACUCUGCAUGACUAGCUGAGAGGAGGUGCAUGGCGUAGACGUCU